AACGAACGCUGGCGGCAUGCCUAACACAUGCAAGUCGAACGGGAUCCUAGCUUGCUAGGUGAGAGUGGCGGACGGGUGAGUAACACGUGGGAAUCUGCCUUUUGGUUCGGGAUAACCGCGGGAAACUGCGGCUAAUACCGAAUGCCCUCGAGAGAGGAAAGAUUUAUCGCCAGAAGAGGAGCCCGCGUCCGAUUAGGUAGUUGGUGGGGUAAAGGCCUACCAAGCCGACGAUCGGUAGCUGGUCUGAGAGGAUGAUCAGCCACACUGGGACUGAGAUACGGCCCAGACUCCUACGGGAGGCAGCAGUGGGGAAUAUUGGACAAUGGGGGCAACCCUGAUCCAGCAAUGCCGCGUGAGUGAUGAAGGCCUUAGGGUUGUAAAGCUCUUUUGCCAGGGAAGAUGAUGACUGUACCUGGAGAAUAAGCCCCGGCUAACUUCGUGCCAGCAGCCGCGGUAAU
rnacentral:rRNA from 1 species